UCAUAUUAGACGUGCCUGCAAUCAUAGCGGC
rnacentral:sRNA from 1 species